GACAUAGCGCUUGAUAGGCCAUU
rnacentral:misc_RNA from 1 species